rnacentral:rRNA from 1 species
UACAGAGGGUGCAAGCGUUGUUCGGAAUUAUUGGGCGUAAAGGGCGCGUAGGCGGUUCGGCAAGUCUCUAGUGAAAUCUCAGGGCUCAACUCUGAGUCUGCUGGGGAAACUGCCGGGCUUGAGUGUGGGAGAGGAGAGUGGAAUUCCCGGUGUAGCGGUGAAAUGCGUAGAUAUCGGGAGGAACCCCGGGGCGAAAGCGGCUCGCUGGAUCUUUUCCGACGCUGAGGCGCGAAAGCUAGGGGAGCAAACGGG